rnacentral:rRNA from 1 species
UCCAGACUCCUACGGGAGGCAGCAGUGAGGAAUAUUGGUCAAUGGGCUUACGCCUGAACCAGCCAAGUCGCGUGAGGGAAGACGGUUUUCGGAUUGUAAACCUCUGUCCUCUGUGAAGAUAAUGACGGUAGCAGAGGAGGAAGCUCCGGCUAACUACGUGCCAGCAGCCGCGGUAAUACGUAGGGAGCAAGCGUUGUCCGGAAUUACUGGGUGUAAAGGGAGCGUAGGCGGGGAUGCAAGUUGGGUGUCAAAACUACCGGCUCAACCGAUAGUCGCACUCAAAACUGCAGCUCUUGAGUGAAGUAGAGGCAGGCGGAAUUCCUAGUGUAGCGGUGAAAUGCGUAGAUAUUAGGAGGAACACCAGUGGCGAAGGCGGCCUGCUGGGCUUUUACUGACGCUGAGGCUCGAAAGUGUGGGGAGCAAACAGGAUUAGAUACCCCUGUAA